GUGUUGUAAUUAGAUAUCAGCAGAUCAAUUUCCUGCAACAGCAGAAGUAUACUUCACCCUGGAACUAUGGAAUAUGAACAACCCACUGAUGUGUGAGGUGGAUUAGUUAAGUGAUGAACUUUAGAUUCUUCACAAAAAUAUUCACUGCCUGUCAAAAGAAUUUGUGCAACCAGAUCAGCUGUUUUCUGAGAAAUAUUAGUCAUUGCAUAGCAAAAACAAAUGGACUGAAACAAGUUUCAACCAAGAUGUAGGUCCAAGCAGCAACUGCUACCAACCCAUCAAUGGCUGCAGCUAAUUAAGUGGCUGCAUGCUGUAACUUAAUUGAUAAGUGAAAGACCUCCAUAAAUGAGCCAAUUACCAUGUGUCUUCUGGAAACAGGAGGAAGUAUCCAGAUAAGGAAGACUGAGAAGCAGCGUUCUGAUCAGAAAAAGGAUCGUCACAGCAAACCUGAUGGAGAGGAGCCACUAAACUGCCUUUCCAGUCUUUCCCACUGUCCAUAACAUCAUUUUUUUUCCUGCCUGUUUCUGUUAGUAUGUGCGUCAUGCAGGAGUUUAUAAGUGGGUUAGAGUUUUGUGAAGACUGUGCCUUUAUAUAUUUUCCUACAUGUUUAAUUGU